rnacentral:rRNA from 1 species
UACCAGCACCCCGAGUGGUCGGGACGUUUAUUGGGCCUAAAGCAUCCGUAGCCGGUUCUACAAGUCUUCCGUUAAAUCCAUCUGCUUAACAGAUGGGCUGCGGAAGAUACUAUAGAGCUAGGAGGCGGGAGAGGCAAGCGGUACUCAGUGGGUAGGGGUAAAAUCCGUUGAUCCAUUGAAGACCACCAGUGGCGAAGGCGGCUUGCCAGAAUGCGCUCGACGGUGAGGGAUGAAAGCUGGGGGAGCAAACCGG